rnacentral:rRNA from 1 species
CAGCACCUCAAGUGGUCAGGAUGAUUAUUGGGCCUAAAGCAUCCGUAGCCGGCGCUGUAAGUUUUCGGUUAAAUCUGUACGCUCAACGUACAGGCUGCCGGGAAUACUGCAGCGCUAGGGAGUGGGAGAGGUAGACGGUACUCGGUAGGAAGGGGUAAAAUCCUUUGAUCUGUUGAUGACCACCUGUGGCGAAGGCGGUCUACCAGAACACGUCCGACGGUGAGGGAUGAAAGCUGGGGGAGCAAACCGGAUUAGAUACCCGAGUAGUCC